UACCAGCCUAAGGAAUAGACUAUGUUGUUCUGUCCAUAACAUUGUUCAGAUCAUAGAUAGGGCUGAUGAUGAAUGGAAUGUAAUCUAAAAAUAAAUGUAAAAUAAAUAUGAGUAAAAUGAGAAAUUCAUUUAUAUUUAAAUAAAACAAAUAAAAAUAGAAGCUAAUGAAUUAUAUAUAUAUUGGUCUGCAGAAUUCGACAUGAUAGCAAAACUUCCAUCACAUGCUCCUCAUUCACUCUGAAACACUAAAGCCCAUAUUGCACACACAUUACCCUAGUGGAAUCUGAGGCCAUACCAUGCAUUUAUGCAAGGACAAUCUUCAUCUUACAAAAAAAAAAUACACACACAAUCCUCUAUCUCUCUUCAGGCCACACCCUAGUCCUAUGUAUAGGCCAUUGCAAAAAUCUCCCCCACACGCACAAUCAACCAUCAUACAUCGAUAACUUUCAUUCAAUUUAAUGUGGAGAGGGUGGACCACGAGUCAAAGAGAUCCGUCACUGGGGAGAGGGACAGCAUUUCAUAACCAUUAAAUGAUGUGCGCUACAAAUCUCUGACUGACCACAGAGACACAGCUCUCCGUACAGUGGAAUGAGAGGUGGCUGAACGAACGGCAGAAGUUAGGUGUAGAAAGUUUGAGGAACUUUAUGCAAUUAACUGCCAAGCUACAAGUUUCAAAACCCCAUGGCAUGUGUGUAUGUGUUCGCGUGGGUUUGUGGCAGUAACGGUUUAUGUGUGGUUUGGGCUCAAGUCUUCUGAAGUCAGAGAAGGCUCGAGACGAUACUCGCUCAACCACAAAACCACACUAGGAACAAGUGAGUCACACUACAGUCACCUCCUCAGGUGGACAAGGGGAAGGAAUGAGUGAGAUGGAGAGGCGGGGACGGACGAUGACUACAAAAGAAAAACAUCAUGUUGCAUGGUACAAACACGAGAAAUAGAGAGCUGUUCGUGUCUACACUUUGUGGAGUGUUUGAAAAACAAGGACAUGCCACAUCAAAUUAAUUACAGAUUUAAAUCAUGCCGAAUAGAUCCUGACAUGGACAAAAAAUACCAGAGGGAUCCGUCAUUAUUGUGUUUCACUGUUUCCUUUCAUUCACUUGAGUAACACUGAAAGCACCUAUAAACUAAACAGCACUUCCUUUCUGGCAAAUGUUUGUCAUCCUAAACGGGUAGACCUUAUUUUCACUGGAAGGAGGUCACAAUGUCGUAACAAUAUUGUAAUAUAAAACAAAUAAUUGUGUCUUUUAUUUAGUAUUGGAGCAACACAGCCAAUUUCCUAUAAGGGUUGAGCAACAAGGAUUCUCAAAUGAGCCAUAAAAGACAUUUUGACUUUUUCCCAACACAACUUUGGCUGUUUACCUGCAUGUUAAAUUACAAUCAUUUCUGGAAAACAUCAUUGUGCAAGAUACUUGUACACUAGCUGGGAAGGUGGGCCCAGAUGUGCGUAAUCAACAAAAGGCAUUGAUUUAUCUGAUCAAGUUCCAUAUGUAACUAAUCAUUCACUUCUGAAAGAGAGUGGAGACAUAUGGCUUGUGACUGACUAAAAAGUGCACUUCCUUGGUUUGUGGAAAUCCUGCUUUUUUAACAUUAAUACCUAAAAGUCAGGUUCCAUGUAUGUCACUUGCACUGUAGUACCAGAGCUGAGAUGCCAUUGUUUUCAAGCAUAAAUGGGUUUAUGAAUUUACAGCUGUCUGUGGAGUUUCAUAAUAAAUAUAGACAUCAACACUGACA